GGUGGUUCUCAGGUGAUGCACCCCAGAAUCAUGCUCUGGUUCUGGGUGGGUCACCUGAGAACUACA
rfam:Myotis davidii contig121403, whole genome shotgun sequence.